AAAAAAAAAGAAAUCCAAUAAAUCUGAAGUUCGGAUUUUAGUAUUUCCGAAAAUAAAAGAGCGAGACGGCGGGCGACUACGAUGCGGUCGCACGGUGGCGGGCGAGGCGACGUGACGCGGUCGCACGGUGGGGGGACGAGGCGAGGCCAUGUGCAGCGAGGCGAAGGGCGGGCGACGCGGCCGUAGGGUCCCGUCGAGCGCGCGACGGCGCGAGAGGCUCCGCGACGCGGCGCUGCGGCUGUCCCGUGAAGCUGAUCCGCCGAAAUGCGCCCCUCGCCGCCGGCGAUCAGUGGAGUUGAUUAGGAACAACGUAGUCUGAUGAGAUGAUAAUGCAGCUUCCGAAUCAAUUGUAGCCUCCGUCAGUGGCCACGUCGAGGGAUCAAUCCCAUUGUGUUCUCAUUCCCAGCAGAAGAUAAAAUUAUAUCUGUUUCCGGUGAGAAAUUUUCCAGUAUGAUGCAAGUUCACCUCUUCUGCACCUUGACGGCUGGGUGCUUUUGUGACUCAUUGCUCCAGAUUAUCUUUCCAUGUAGAAUUUGUGGACUCAUUGACCCUCAUCAACACAUAUGAACCGACCUACCGACCUGUUGCUAACUCUACUUGAUCAUGUAUGCCCCUGUAUCACAGGAUUUAUUCAUCUCUAUCCACAUGUGCCCAUGUUCUUAUUUGUGAGCAGUUUCACUUCUACAUACAGUCCCAUAUCAGAACACAACACAUGGUCAUGUCUUUUCUUAAAUAUUUAAGUUACUUGGAACUUUUACAUGCGAAAACCAUAUGAAAUUAACCUGUCAAAACUGUCCAGGAGUGCUCCGAAAGAAAAAUCUUCCAUCCCGAGCUACCGGAAUUUCGUUUUCUGUAGUAAUUUGGCUCAGUGUGGAACGGAAUCAACGGAUUAUACUCAUAAUUAUCAUCUACCAUUGUCAUAUCCUUACUGAGGAUUUCUCGCUCAGAUUUCGGAUCGAGAAGGGGAUACUUGGGGAAGAAGAAGAAACCAGAGAGAUAGGAGGUAGGAGGAGAUGUGAGCUAUUUCAUUUAGUCGCUGCCAAAUCCAGCCAACGGUCUAGCUUAUAUAUAGCUCGUACAUUUUCACACACUCAGCCCACCAGGCCCUCACACUUACAUGGCUGAAAGCCCAAAUAAACAAGACACUCUCAGAUGGCCCACUUGUUAUUCAAACAUUUCCCUUGGUGCCGCUCUCGGCCUCCUUUAGCUUCCUAUUCCCUGGUUCUGCAGCUGUCAGGGUGUAAUCAAAUUGUUAUAUGUGCUCCCAUAAAAAGCAAGAGACGUGGAAAAUUGGUAGUUUUGAUCACCUUGCAGGUUGUUUUAUUAAGGUGGAAAAAUUGUAUCGGGUUCCUACCUGCACGGCAUGUUGAAUGCUAAAUAGAAUCAUGCAUGCAUUAGUUUCCGCAAAAUAACUCAACUUAUAUGCAUUGGUAGUUUGGACCAAUAUGGAACUGUAGCCAUGAUAUUGUCUUGAGAAUUAGGCAAAUAGUAAAUCCAUUAUGUGUCGAAUGUAGUGCAGCUGUAGCUCUUUUAUUCUCAUAUAGAAGUUCACCCUGACGAUCGUCAAAAUUACUAUGAAUUCAAUUUUUCUGUGAAGAGACUUAUCAUUUUCACUAUCUAUUCCUGAUCUGUUCCUAUGUAUUUCCGUAAAAUGGUUCACAAGGUAUCAGAAUGAAAGUAAAGGGACUAAUUAGUGAAGUUGUAACUAACCACUAGAUUUUACUCCCUACGUCCCAAAAUAAGCGUCUCAAUUUUGUACUAACUUUAGUACAAAGUUGCACUGAAGUUAAGACACUUAUUUUGGGACGGAGGGAGUACUUAUUUCACAUUCUCUCUCUUUGCAUACAGAUGGCUAUGGGGCUCAAAUUUUCUAAAUUUGUUGGUUCCUGCGGUUAUGCCUCAAGGAUAUUAAUUUCAGAUGGCUGAAGUGUUUUGUUUGACAGAGAAUGUGCUUCAGUAUUAGUGAGUGUCUACCUCUUUCCCAGUUAACCCUCUUCUUUUCAUAGGAUUUCAUGAAAGUUAAUACCUUGCUGUAAAAAUUGUAGAAUGAUCAUAUUUUUUAUUUGUAUCCAGGGACUAAUUUAGGAUCUCUCAUGUCUUAUGUUAGAUGAUUAAUACGGUGAUUUUUAUGAAAAAACUAGCAUCUUAGGCACCUUAAUUAGUGUUCUUCCUCAGCUUUCGAGAAGUUUCUGGGUCCGUCACUGUUUGCAUCCCUAUGAUUUAUUUUUUUAGAGACUCCCUAGAAAAUUUAAUGGUUAUCGAAUAAAAAGAAAAAGAUCUAACCAUCUAUCUAGUGGACGCAAGUUUUAACGGCUUGAAUUUAAUCGGGACUACUAAUCUACAACAAAAUAAGAGGCGUAUGUAAAAUAAGGAGAUUGAUAUAAUUUGGUGUGUGAUGCCAGAAUAAAGUUACUAAACUUAUAUAAUUUGGUAUAUUCUGAUUUUUUUUACUAAAUUAUAGUAUUUGUUCUCAGAAGUGCACUGUUGUUCUUUAGGCUCAGACACUAUUGACAGAAUAAAGUUCAUUUUGUUUGAUUUAUAUUGCAAUUAAGAAGGAUGUUGGGUUUGCCAACCAAUGUUGCUGGUAUGUAGAUUUAUGUUUUACCACCAUAUGGUCCAUUUUAUGGUAUAUAAAGAUUUUUAGUUGUCUAAAUUUCUUAAGUGUAUUUUAUGUUGGCUUAAUAAGGUUUGUUACAGCAAAUGUGAUUCUUUUGUAUUAUCAGUAUGCAAUUUUUUCUAUUUAAAUUUUCCAUCGUAUAAGCAUACCUACUCAUUUAGUUUACAUCAGACAUUUCUACCCUGACUAUGGGCUGCUUAAACUAGUAUGAGUUUCCUUUCUACAAAUAUUUAUAUAUUUAAGUGUGUUUUGCACAUUGUUUGUUUAUAAUAACUGUGGGCAUGUACUGGGGAGAAUUUGCAUAGGAUAACAACAUUAUUGAUACUAAUAUUGUUAUGACCGGCAUAUUAGGGGCUUAGCCCAGUUUAGCCCAGUUAGUUGUGGCCCACUUUAUCUUAUUGUUAUUAGGGGCUUAGCCCAAUUACCUUAUUAGGAGGAUUAUAUAAACUCGUGUAAGGACCCGUUUUGGGAUUAAGCAAGAAGCAAUCAUAUUUGCUCGGCUUCCUUAGGGAGCCGGGAGACCUAGCCGGCGACCACGCCUUUCUCAACCAUCCCUCCUUCCACCCUACAACCUGAGACCACGCCUUGAUAGGGAUCCGGUUCCUACCAAUUUGGUAUCAGAUAGCUUCGGUGUGAUCAUGUCCUCGCCGCCGCCCACCCCGACCCUCCCGCUGCCGACCGCGACGACCGCCCCGAUGGCCACCACGGCCAGCGCCCCGCUCUUGUCGGUGCCGGUCACCUCCGCCACGCCCGUCCCCGUCGUCUUCACCUCGGAGGAGAUGACGGCUGUCAUCCGAGAUCUCACCCAGGCGGUCACGGACAUCUACACGUUCCUCGCGAGAUUCUAUGGGCCGCAGCCGCCUGUGCCCUUCGCCAACGCCCCGCCGCCGCAGCAGCCGUCGUGGCAGCCGCCAUCCUCAGCGACCCCCGUCGCCGCCACCAGCGACAAACCCCGGCGCCUCCACCAUGCAGCAGGGGCAACAGCUGCAGCCGCCGCCACCGGCGAUUGCGGCCCUGGGCAUCCCGACGACGGGCCCGGGGGUGCCCAUCCACCAGGUCCAGUUUCCCCCGUCGUCGUCUCCGUUACCGGUCUGGCUCGCUGGGUCCCUUGAGCCGGUCUACACGACGGCCUCGGUCGGGCCGCACGUGCUGCCCCUGCUGACGACGCACCCGGCCAUGCAGUUUGGCGGGUCCUCGGGCUCCGCCGAGCCCUUCGCCAGCGUCGACGGGCCCUUGUUCCAAGGCGGCACCCUGAUGCUCGCCUAUUUGGCCCCGUCAUCCUCGCUGCUUCGUGCUGACGAGGUGCACCCGCCCGUCGUCCACGUCCAGACGCCGCCGAGAUUCUCCAAGCUGGAGUUCGUGACCUACGACAGCACCGUCGACCCCCUGAAUUGGCUCAACCAAUGCGACCAAGCAGGGGACAGCGCACGCUUGCGUCCGACCGCACCUGGAUCGCCUCGUAUCAUCUUCGAGGAGCCGCACAAACGUGGUACUACGCCCUCGAACAGGAAAAGGGCGGCAUGCCACCAUGGGAGCGCUUCCGCGAUUUGUGCAUCUUGCUUCGGUCCGCCUAUACGCAGGAGCCGUCUGGCGGAGCUUGGGCGUCUUUCGUUCCUCACCUCGGUGCAAGACUUCGCCGACCGCUUCCAGGCCCUGGCGUGCCACGCCCCCGGCGUUUCGGCUCGUCAGCGGGCUGAGCUCUUCGUUGGCGGCCUACCGGGCCACAUCCGCGUGGACGUGGAGAUGCGCGGGCCACAGGACCUUCAGACGGCCAUGUACUACGCCCGCGCGUGGCCAUCCAGCAGGCGCCACCGCCCCGGGCCGCUAGGCCGCCACCCUGGCCGGAAGUUCCCGCCCAAGGUCGGCUUGCCCAGGCUUCCGCGGCGUCCCUUGAGGGUUGUGCUUCAACUGCGACGAGCCCUACGUACCGGGCCAUGUCUGCCAACGACUCUUCUACCUGGAGGCUGCAGACUACAUUGAGGAGGACCCCGCCGCCGCCGGGCUCGGCAACCAGCCCGCCCCAGUUGACGCGGAGGUGUUUGGCGACCGUUGAUCUUCCCCGCCUUCCAGCUCGAGGACGAGCUGUUGUGCAGGCGGGGAGAGAUGUUAUGACCGACAUAUUAGAGCUUAGCCCAGUUAGUUGUGGCCCAGUUUAUCUUAUCGUUAUUAGGGGCUUAGCCCAGUUAUCUUAUUAGGAGGAUUAUAUAAACUCGUGUAAGGACCCGUUUUGGGAUUAAGCAAGAUGCAAUCAUAUUUGCUCGGCUUCCUCAGGGAGCCGGGAGACCUAACCCUAGCCGCCCCCCCUGCGCUCUCUCUCUCUCGCGCGCGCACGCAACGACGGCCCCCUAGCGUUGGCGACCACGCCUUUCUCAACGCCAUCCCUCCUUCCACCCUACAACCUGAGACCACGCCCUGGUAGGGAUCCGGUUCCUACCAGAUAUACUCCCUCCAUUCAUAAUUAUAAGACCUUUUAGAGAUUUCAACAUGAACUACAUACGGAGCAAAAUGAGUGAAUCUAUACUCUAAAAUAUGUCUGUAUAUGUCCGUAUUGAAAUCUCUAAAAGGUCUUAUACUUAGCUUCUAUCCAUUUCCCUUUAUUCAGCCACCCGUAUCACAUUCUUAUGAGUAAGCAUGGUUUGUAAAUACAAGUGUUCGCAAAAAUAUUAAGGGUCUUUUACAUCUGUGUCCCUAACUGGAACCCACUACUCAUAUUUGCCCUUAAUUUCGAAGUGUGCUCAAUUUUGCCCCUCUGCCGUUAGGUGCACUUAUAGAAAUGUCCUUCCGUGCCGUUUCCGUCCGGUCAAAGUGGGUUGACUGGUAUCUGGCCGUUUCUUUGACAAUCUUGCCCCUGUCUCCCUGUGUCUCUUACGGAUGGGACCCACUCCAAUUGUUUUGGUAAAAAACCUAUCUCUCACACACUUCCACGUGGGUCCUGGCUAAAAACUAAAAUGAAAAAUAGAAAAGGACUAGUCAAACUAGAUAUUAGGCCCACAUGCCAUUGGCUUAUCAGUAUUGUCUCAAAUAAUUUUUUUAAUUAACAGUGGAUUAGGCUUCCUCAAUUAAAAACCGUGGCUUAGGCCGACGGUCGCCGGCGACGACCAAUUCCCACGCCGGAGGCACACAGGAAGGCCGCAAGGAGGCCUACCGAGAGGACCAGGCGAUAGCCCUCGAUCUACCGCGUGCGGGGAUAUUGUCGUCGGACCAUAUGGUCGCCGGAACAAACGGCGGCGACCAUUCUCGCGGCGGCUCUGGGCGGCACAAGUGGGGGAGCUUCCAUGCGAGCGGGAGGGAGAGGGAAAAAGGCUGUGAGGGGGAUCUUCCAUCACUAGGAUCACGAUGGCUACGCCGCUCGGGCUAAGAGAAGGCUAGUGCAAGGACUUCGACGAUGGCGGCCAUGGCAGAGCUCGGAGCUCGCAGGGAAGAAAACCCGAGCUCAUGGCGCUUGCUGUGGAGGAAGCCCACGUCUUCUUAGGUACAUCACGAUGCCCGGGGAGCAGGCGGAAUCGACCGGCGUGCCUCAAUGGCGUCGAAUCGAAGGCGGCAAUCCGAGACUGGAGGCAGGAAGAUGCGUUGUAGCGCUCAAUCCUUGAUGUCUCUGGUCGAAUUAGUAGGCCGGUAGGAUGCGUUCAUGUCGUAAGAGCUUCCCGGCGAGUUGGCGGGGCUUGGGGGUUGCCCUUGGCCACGUUCUUGACAGACGACGGCGACAGGUCACUCUCCAGCGUGCUUGCGGGAGAGGGCUCAAGGGCGGGAGAGAGAAAGCAGGCUAGCGGCAGAAAGAGAACGAGGGCGAGAGGAUGCGGCGUCAGGGGAGGACAGCGGUAGAGGCGGCGCCCGUUCGGCACUCUCACCGGAGUUGAGAGAGAGUGGCGUCGGCCCGUCGUUCGGCAGGGAGAGAGGUGAGAGAAAGAAAAAUAUUUUUUUGUCUAGCUAGGACCCACAUGUAAGUGUGUGUGAGAGAGAUGGGGGUGAGAGAAAGUUUUUUUCAAAAAAAAGGGAGUGGGUCCUACCGGCAAGUGACACGCGAAGACAGGGGCAAAAUUGUCAAAGAAACGGCCAGAUACCGGUCAAACAGCUUUGACCGGACGGAAACGGCACGGAUGGGCAUUUCUAUAAGCGCACCUAACGGCAGAGGGGCAAAUUUGAGCAUGCUUUGAAAUUAGGGACAAAUCUGAGUAGGUGGUUCGAGUUAGGGACAGAAAUGCAAAUGGCCCAAAUAUUAAUGAUCGUGUCGUUUUUCAGGAAUUGCAAUGGACCAAAUUGUUGUCCAAGGCCUGGAUUCAAAACAUGUAGCUGUAAUGCUAAUCAAUCAUCAUCAUUGCUUAUCAGUCGUAAUCAAUUCUUACUUUUUUUUAACUUUCUCCUUUUUGGAAAAAACGGAAGCAUUAUCAGUCAACUGAAAAGAGUAUGUUAUAAGUACAAUGAAAUCUGGGAAAAGAACUAUGGUAAUUCUUUCUCUUCUAUUUGACCGUCAUACAAUCUAACUCGCAACAAAUUGGAGGAAAGUAAUUUAUUUUUCCCUAUAUUUAUUUCUAUAAGCAAGAAUUUCACGCACUUUUCCCCUUCCCAAACCCUAGAGUUCAAGGCACUGAUCCCCAAGCCAAGGAGUCGAUGCCGCCAGGAGGAGGAGGCGAGCAUGGCUGCACGGAGCAGGACCAUCCAUUGGCGACCGGUCGCCGUGACGAGGGCGCUCCGUCCUAUCCUAUGCCGCCGCCUCCCCUCAUUGUUCCCGUAGCUUCUGAGAAGAAGAAGAAGAAGAAGCACGAGCAGGAGCAGGAGCAUGAGAAACACCCUGCUGGGAGCCUUCCUGAGGGCCCCCUUGUCGAGAUCCUGUCCCGGGUGCCCUACAAGUCACUGUGCCGCUUCAAGUGUGUGUCCAAGCCGUGGCUUGCCCUCUGCUCUGACCCCGACAUCCGCAAGAGGUCACCCAAGACCAUGCAGUGCUGCGGUGGCCUUGUUCUCUGCAAAUACUGGGAAUCACGUUAUGUUGAGGAAUAUGAGUACAAUCUUGUCGUGUGCAAUCCUGCGACCAAGAAGUGGGCCGAGCUGCCUCCUAAUCCUAUACAAUUGCAAGACGAAGACGAAGAAGAAGUCGAAGAAUAUUUGUGUUUCGAUCCAGCCGUCCCCUCCCGUUUCGUGGUACUCUCACACACUUGGGAUUUCACAGAAGUGGCAAUCUACUCAUCAGACACUGGACGAUGGACUACGGUGGAGAGUGGUUGGACUGAUGAGGCUCCUGUUGGUCUUCCUGUCUUCCUGAAUGGUACUUUGCAUUUGAUGACCACUGAAUAUUCAAUAGUCACAGUAGACACAGAGGGGAAGGUUUGGGGGCAAAUUGAUAUUCCAGGCAACAUGCAAGACAGCUCUGAUCAUCCGUUCAUUGGACAGUCUCAGGGACGAUUGUAUGCUUUGUGUAUAAAUGAUAAUAUUGAUGUUUGCCAACUUUCAGUUUGGGCUCUUGAGGAUUAUGGUGGUGCAAAGUGGGCCUUGAAGGAUACUGUUAACAUUUCAGAACUGUUUGGAAGGGAUCGUUACAAAUAUGUGGAGCCCUUAGCAAUUCAUCCAGAUUGUGAUUUGAUUUUCCUUGCUGACCGGAGGGGGAAGGCUAUCUCAUAUGAUAUGGACAGCAAGAAAGUGCAUGUUAUUGGCACUUACCAAACAUUCGAUGGUGCUGUACCUUAUGUUCCAUGUUUUGCGGAAUGGCCGUCAGAUGGUCACUGACCUUGCUGGAACUAUAUUGUCUUCAUAAAUUUAGCCAUGGAGAAUAUGCAACACCUAGCAACACCUUCCAGUAGCUAAUGCUUACUUGUAUGAAUGAGUCUAGGUAUUUGAUGUAUCGGCUGCAUCUAGUGCUAAUCAUUAUGGUCACCUGUUAGCUCUUGGUGUGGGGUAACUGUGAGGGUAUAUUAUCUAUGUUUGAAAUUGGUUGGAUUUUCACCUCUUUAUUUUUCGUUUAAGACUGGAGAUGCUUAUCUCUUGUUGCAAGUACAUUUAUCUUUUAUGGACAACUUGUUAUCCAUCAGUUCUGAAUAUUGA